AUUGAACGCUGGCGGCAUGCCUUACACAUGCAAGUCGAACGGCAGCACGGGUGCUUGCACCUGGUGGCGAGUGGCGAACGGGUGAGUAAUAUAUCGGAACAUACCCUAGAGUGGGGGAUAACGUAGCGAAAGUUACGCUAAUACCGCAUACGAACUAAGGUUGAAAGUGGGGGAUCGCAAGACCUCAUGCUCAUGGAGUGGCCGAUAUCUGGUUAGCUAGUUGGUGAGGUAAAGGCUCACCAAGGCGACGAUCAGUAGCUGGUUUGAGAGAACGACCAGCCACACUGGAACUGAGACACGGUCCAGACUCGUACUGGAGGCAGCAGUGGGGAAUUUUGGACAAUGUGGGCAACCCUGAUCCAGCAAUGCCGCGUGAGUGAAGAAGGCCCUCGGGUUGUAAGCUCUUUUGUCAGGGAAGAAACGGUCUACUCUAAUACAGUGGGCUAAUGACGGUACCUGAAGAAUAAGCACCGGCUAACUACGUGCCAGCCGCCGCCGUAA
rnacentral:rRNA from 1 species